AACUGGUUCUCGUUAGAUCACCGAAGUCAGCAUCAUUGGACGCGGUCAGUACUUGGGUGGGAGACCACCUGGGAACACCGCUUGAC